CGUCCUAGAUCUCCAUAAGAGAACUCUUUGUAAUCCAAUGCUCCGUUUGCCUAGAGAAACCAUCAAAUCCAGUAAGCUAAUUACUAAGCUAGCUAAUGUUGAAACUUGAAAGCAUUUAUAAGGUAAGACAAACAAAACCUCACCUCCACAGUAAGAUCUUCUACAUCCGAAUUCAUGUAACUAUUGCUGUCUGCAGGUACUAUAGCAUCGGUUUGUUUCCCUAAAUCCAUACCAGAAGAAUUUGCAGUCUCCUGAACUACAUCAAAGGAUGCAUCAUCAGACUUGGUGGCGGAAGGAGAGUAUUCGGUCUGCUCCUCCA
rnacentral:lncRNA from 1 species